CAAACCUUGUAGUGAUCCAUUAGGCAACUGAAAUUAAAUCUAAAUUUGUGAUGAAAGGAAGCUUCUUAAAUUAUAAAACAUAUAGAUUUAUCACAUGAAAUCCAUUAUAUGGAUUCCCAUUUCUCCCUGAAGUCUUAGCCUUACUAGGUCUUCACUUCUCCCUGUAUAAUAGCUCCUUACAAGUGUGGUGGCCACUGUAAUCGGACCAAUUCUGCAAGAUUCCACCUUCAAACUAGAUAGAUACGCAACAACUUAGAGGACACAAAAUAAGCAAAAAAUCCGGGACAAUUUGUGUCCGUGGAGCUACGCCAUCCAACACUACAUAUCAUCUGUAAUUUAUA
rnacentral:lncRNA from 1 species